GGCGGCAUGCCUAAUACAUGCAAGUCGAGCGGACUUGAUAAGAAGCUUGCUUCNCUGAUGGUUAGCGGCGGACGGGUGAGUAACACGUAGGCAACCUGCCCUCAAGUUUGGGACAACUACCGGAAACGGUAGCUAAUACCGAAUAAUUGUUUUCUUCGCCUGAAGGAAACUGGAAAGACGGAGCAAUCUGUCACUUGGGGAUGGGCCUGCGGCGCAUUAGCUAGUUGGUGAGGUAACGGCUCACCAAGGCGACGAUGCGUAGCCGACCUGAGAGGGUGAUCGGCCACACUGGGACUGAGACACGGCCCAGACUCCUACGGGAGGCAGCAGUAGGGAAUCUUCCGCAAUGGGCGAAAGCCUGACGGAGCAAUGCCGCGUGAGUGAUGAAGGUUUUCGGAUCGUAAAGCUCUGUUGCCAGGGAAGAACGCUUGGGAGAGUAACUGCUCUCAAG
rnacentral:rRNA from 1 species